UGUUCUGUGGCUUAGUUCGUUAAAGCGCCGGUCUAGCGAAUACGGAGUCGUGGGUUCGAAUCCCACCAGAACGC
rfam:Aedes albopictus isolate Foshan contig137995, whole genome shotgun sequence.